rnacentral:rRNA from 1 species
CAGCCGCCACGGGAAUACGGAGGGUGCAAGCGUUAAUCGGAAUUACUGGGCGUAAAGCGCACGCAGGCGGUCUGACAAGUCAGAUGUGAAAUCCCCGGGCUUAACCUGGGAACUGCAUUUGAAACUGUCAGGCUGGAGUCUUGUAGAGGGGGGUGGAAUUCCAGGUGUAGCGGUGAAAUGCGUAGAGAUCUGGAGGAAUACCGGUGGCGAAGGCGGCCCCCUGGACAAAGACUGACGCUCAGGUGCGAAAGCGUGGGGAGCAAACAGGAUUAGAUACCCCGGUAGUCCCUGUCUCUUAACA